rnacentral:rRNA from 1 species
AUGCACCACUGUCAGAUGAAGCUAUACCUCCCUUGGCUGGCAUCCUCUAGAGCAGUAACAUAUCUGUACCUAAAAAGUGAUUUCUUGUCUGACCCCGCAUUGCAUGUCCCGUGUUCCGCCUCAAAUUUGACACAUCUUGUUUUUUGUGGGAUUUGUGCCCCCUGCCCAGCUACAUGUGUUGGAUUUAAGUGGCUGCUGGAUCUUAACAGGAGAUGCCAUCUCAAUUUAACAUUUCAUAGGCAUCACCUUGUGACAGGGGUGAGACAUGAACUAAUGCAGGAACUUCAACCAAAUCGUGGUGGUACUUCACAAGUCUACGAUACUUCCAUGGGCAAAAACAAAAGCUGUAAAUGGUUUGUCUGA